GGGGGGGGCCGGGGGGAGAGCGAAGGAGGGAUGAAGGGAACGGCGGCGUUGCGACGCAGCGACGGGGGUGGCGGAGGCGCCGCCGGGGGUGGAACCGUUGAACCAGCACCCGUCGCCACCCUCGUCGUCUACAAGGACGAGGCCGGAUAUGGGAUGAAAGUCUCCGGUGAUAAUCCCGUCUAUGUUCAAUCUGUGAAGGAAGGUGGUGCAGCCGCAAGAGCAGGCCUUCACGCGGGCGAUAAAAUCAUCAAAGUUAACGGCGUGAAUGUAAUGCAGUCCACGCAUACGGAUGUUGUACAGCUCAUAAAGUCUUCGACGCAGGUGGUACUGACGGUACAGCAGAAGCCAGUUGCAACGAGCAGCGCGGCGACGCCGGCCACAGGGUUACAAGUUGGUCUUGCGGGUGGACAUCAGAGACCAGUUAGUUUAUCAGCCGGCACCACAAUGGUAUCACCCUCGCAACCAGCGACUUCUUUACAUAGGGCGUCGACUGCUCCAGGCGCACCGUGUAAUGCACGUAUCACAGGACCUCAACCCGUUGAUCACGAGAAAAAGCGGCAAAUGGAAACUCAGCGCGUUCAUACAUUCCAGCUUAUGUUGGAGAAAGAACAAAGUUACGUUGAUAAGCUUCGUAGUGAACUUGCGAAAGCCAGCACUGGUAGUGGUAAUGUUAAUGUUGUAUCACUACAAACAGAAUUGGCGGGUGCUGAAAGAAGGGUGCGCACCAUGCAAGAACAACUAGCUGCAAUAACUACCAAUGAACAGCUUUGCUCGUUGGUAACAAACACCUCGUGUUCCCCGGGUUAUUAUUCACCCUUGAGUAGUUGCAGUGGUGAUGUACCACCGCCUCUACCAUCUCGUAAAUCCUUGUCCAUGCAAAGCCUGUCUCCGCCACCAUUGCCUCCCAGACCUCCGCCUACUACAAAUACGCACCACGUAGCCCAGUUGGAGCUGGAGCGUCAACUGUUGACUCAUUUAACGCCCUCAACCACCAGUCAUGGCAUACCUAACUCUCUUUCACAGGGUGCAAAUUUGGGUUCCUCAAAUUCACUUAAUAAGCACCAACGAACAAAAUCCAGUCCAGAACAACUGGGAACCACAACUAUUUCUCCAUCAGAAGCUAGUAGACGUUUAAUAGCAUCAGAAUCAAUGAACGAUCUUUCUCCUCCAAGGCAUGUAAGGCAUAGUGAUAUUGACAUAGAUGAAUUACCUCAUAUCACUCCUCCAGGAACUCCACCUCCACCAUAUCCAGUUGCUAGUCCAGGAAAUGAUACUUCUGGCUCUACUAUCAAUGAUACAAUAUUAAAUGAAAGUAUUCCUGGAUUGCCAACAUUACAGCAACCAAUCAUGUCAAUGGAAGAUGAUGAUAUGAGUGAUCAAGAAGUUGGGCAAUUAGAAGAUCAUGGUCCAUUCAAAUCUUUAUCCCGAUUAUGGGGACAUCAUGCACAUCUUGCUGUAUUUAUUAAUUAUGUUUUAUCAAAUAGUGAUCCCUCCAGUCUGUUGUUCUAUUUAGUAACGGAUCUGUAUAAAGAAGGUAAUGCAAAAGAAAUGAGGAAAUGGGCAUAUGAAAUUCAUUCUAGUUUUUUAGUACCUGGUGCACCUCUUCGUCUGCAUAAUGUAGACGAAAAUGUAGCACAUGAAAUAGAUGAUGUUCUUUUGAAAGAAUCUGAUAAGGAAGAAAUUUUACGAAAAAUUUUUUGGAAAGCACGUACACGUGCAAAAGAAGAAUUAAAUGAACAAUUAACAGAUUUUCAACAAAAGAGAACUGCUGGAUUAGGUACAUUAUUUGGUCCAAGUGAUGCUCAAUUGGAUGAAAGUGCAUCUGAUAAAACACGAGAAACAAAAAUUAUAGAAACAUACCUCUUACCUAAAAUGGAGCCUUAUUUAGAAGAUAUUGAAAAAGAACAUGUAGAUUUGCGACAAUUUACAACAGCAGCUGGUCUGGCAACAAUAUUAACAAAAAUUUUUCAAGUCCGACCACUAUCACUUGACCGAGUACCUACUUUUGUCGCAAAAGAUAAGUCAAAUCUCAAAGCGCGUUUACUUACGGGAAAAACAAGAAAAAUAUCAAUCAGAGGUCAUCAUUUUGUAGCUCAUCAAUACUUUACUAUUACCUAUUGUAAUCAUUGUCAACUUAUCAUUGGUGGAAUUGGACCUCAAGGAUACUUAUGUAGUGAUUGUUCUCUAAGUGUUCAUCGUCAAUGUGUUCGUGUAGUAGAAGAAAAUUGUCCAGGACCAUUGGUUAGAAAAGAAAGAGGCAAUGAUCGUAUAAGCAAAUUGAUGGAACGUAUCAGACCUGAAAGAAAACCACCAUCAUCACAUCAUCAUCAUCAUUCUCAAAAUCACAUGCUUCAUGUUGAUAAAAUUAAAAGAAGUGAAGAAGAUACUGGUGCAUUGACAGAUGGUGAAAAUGGAGAACAUCGCGGGGGCGUCAUAGCCGGAAACGCGCGUAGUAGUAGCGAAAGAGGACGCAUUUCCGCUUACAGCGGAGUCUCCGAUCACGGCGAUAGUAUGGACAAUCCUUCCUCACGGGAAGAUAUUUCAGAAAUGGUGCAGCAAAAUAUUUCCAGUAAGCCAAAGACGUCAAACAUAAACAGGUCUGAAAGUUACAAGGAGCGGAUACAUCACAAGCGACAGCUACGAGAGAAGAGAAAGACCAGCGACCCAAAUCUUUCUAAAACGAAGGCUGGUUUCAGUGAUUCUGAACCGGCCGGGACAUUUCCCGGAAAUUCAGCGGGCAGUUCGUCGAACAGCAGCUUAUCGACGAGAAGUUUGGACAGUCCGAGUACCAGCCUGGAGCAGGUACAUCCAGCUACCUCCGCGGCCAAUACAUCGACCUCGUGGGACAGCGAUGUUGAUGUUGAACCGGAUCCUCCUGAUUGGAGUCAAGGCGUUGCCGAGGAUGUCCUCGCUCGGCUCAGCAAUGCAGAGAAAAAACGACAAGAAGUUAUUAAUGAACUCUUUCACACGGAGCGAUCUCACGUGCGGGCGUUGAGAGUGCUAUCACACGUCUUCCACAAGCCGCUCCUCGAAUCACAAGUACUUCCGUUAGACCAAAUACAAUUAUUAUUUUCCAAUCUAGAUGAGAUGGUAACAAUUCAUUCGCGCUUCAAUCAAGCGAUGAAGCGCAAGAAGAAGGAGAAUCCAUGCGUGGGCGAUGUCGGAGAUCUUCUUUUAGACAUGUUCGAUGGCGAGAAUGGAGAAACCUUUGAGAGAGCUGCAUCUAUUUAUUGUGCGAAACAGCAAGUGGCUCUGGAUGCUCUGCGAGAUCGUCGUCGGAAGGAUCCGAAAUUGAAUUCUUUCUUAAAUGAAAUUGAGGCUAAUCCUCUUUGUCGAAGGUUACAGCUCAAAGAUCAUAUAUUGACGGGGAUGCUCCGAUUGACAAAAUAUCCUUUGCUCUUUGAAAAUUUGGCAAAAUACACGCCUGAAAGUAACGAAAAGGAAAGAGCUGCUGUUUUGCGAAGUCUCGAUCGAAGUAAGGAAAUUCUUAGUUGUGUUAAUCAAGCGGUACGCGAGGCAGAAGAUUAUCAGAGAUUGGCAGAGAUCCAACGUACCAUCGACAGAUCUGCAUUUGAUAAAUUUGAUCAUCCAACUGUUCAGGAAUUCAAGAAUCUAGACAUCACGAAACGUAAAUUGAUCUAUGAAGGUCCGUUACAAUGGCGUAGAACCGAACAGAAUAGAGCAAAACCGGUCGAUCUACACGUGGUAUUGCUCGACGAUACGAUACUCUUGUUACAUCGACAAGAUGAAAAGUACCUGUUGAAAUUUAUCAAUCCAAAUCAAGCGAACUCUGUAUUGAGUCCUAUUGUAAAAGUAUCUACUGUUCUUGUCAGGCAUAAUGCCGUAGAUAAAAAUUCUCUCUAUCUGGUUAAUACAUCGCAAAACGGAGCGCAAAUCUAUGAUUUAGUAGCAGCCUCGCCUGCAGAACGAAAACAAUGGUUUAAACACAUCUCUGAAGCAGCUGAAGCAUAUAAGGCUCGUGAUAAACAAGGUAGAAGACCUACUCCACCUACUACACUGCCAGAAGAACCUGGACCUACGAUCGAAGAUUCUUCUUCGACAGAACAUGACAAUAUUCCUAAUAAAACGGAUCAGGAGCAAGAACAAGAAUCAGAAACAAAGGAAUCUACGCAAGAUACUAGCAUGGAACAAGAAGGAGAAACACCUAAUAUUUCUGGACCUGAGAUCUCAAGGAUUGAACAAAUGAAACAGCAACAACCACAACACUCAUCCGAACCUUCAAACACAGGUACAGGAGAACCAUUACGAUUGGUUACUUGUACACAAGCAUCAUUAAUUGAUCCGCUUGAAGUUCAUGUAGAAGUACCACCUGUACAUGUUGCAGAACCAGUGCUUACACCAAUAGAAUGUCUUAGAAGAAAGGAUGAGAUUAUUAAGCAAGCACUGAUUGAGAAACAAUUAUUAGUAGCAGAUAUAUUAAAUAUUCCAAAAGAAGAUUUCGAACAUGUGGCUGACAUGGCAUCUGAACCAUCAAGUAUAGAAAAAGAACCUGCUGAACUUAUACUUGCUGCUAUUAGUCAAGCGAAUCAAUUGGUUGGAAUGUUAAAUUCUGCAUUAAAUGUAAGUGAAACGGAAACUAUUCUUGCAUCACGUGGAGCAUCGAUAUUAGCAACACCGCCAAGUUGUGAGGCAACUGGUUGUCCAUCACCACGAAUGCAUCUUCAUCCACAACAACCAGCAAUAUCAAUUGCAAGUUUACAACCAAUUUGUCAUUCUUUAACUUCUCAAUUGUCACAAUUAUUGGAAAUUAUAAAAGAGAGAGAAGAAGAACGAGAGACAUUAAGAAAAGAAUUACGCAGAAGUAGAGAACGUCUUCAUGCCCUUGAUGCAGAUAUACAACGUCGUGAAUUUUCAGAAACAUGCACCGCAUCAAGUCAAACACAAACAGAACCCAGUUAGUUUUUCAAUUUUUUUAGAAUGUGAAGUUUUAAAUAAGGAUAGCAGUAUUGACGAUCCCACUCGUGAUGAAUUUGUAGAUGCACGUGGUGAAUCUGAGGCAAACGAAGAAUUGGAAUAUACAGAACACGAAACAGAAACAGAAGUAAUGGGAGAUAGUGUCGGUUGAAAGAUGCAAGAUAUGUAAUGCAAUGCAUUAAAUAUUGUCAACUAAAUGCAUUUCACGAGCAAGAUCGUUUCCGAAUGCUCAUACUGGAAGAAAUCAAAAUUAUGUAAAAAAUGACAAAUGGCGAGUAGCUGUUUAUGGAAUACAAUAAUAUUAGAUACAUAUUUACAGAGUCAUGGGUCGAUGAUUAAUCAUACCUUUGCCAAAGAUUUUAUGUAACUGGAUUUACAUGAUGUAACAGCGAAUACGCGUAUACAUCAUAUUAUAUCAAUGACUGGAAAUUACAUAAAUUUUUUUAUUGCCAAUAAUAUAACGAUACAGUUUCUGAAAUAAUAUGGUGAAGGAAAUUUUUUUGAAAGAAGUAAAGAGAAUUCCAAAUAGAUUACUAAAUUUAUUUUUAUUUAAUAUUUCUCUUUUUUUCUCUACAUAAAUAAAUAUACGGAUACAUAAAUAUACAAAUUAAUAAAUUAAAUGAAAGCUUUAUAUGCAUAUAGAACAAUUUUUUUACUGUAGAUUAUUUUGAAAUCUACACUGUAGUACUCUUAUAAUAGGUAUUACUGUAUAAAAAUUGUUAUAUCAUGUCUGGAAUGACAUCGAUUUCUAUAAUAUUGUUUUAUAUAUAUCAAUUUGUAUAUCGAAAAUUUUUCCUUAAGAUAUUUUUUAAAAAAUUAAAGUCGAUUUUAUCGAAAUUACUUUGAAAUACUUAUUAUGCAUUUUAUACAAAAACAUUUACGUAAAUAUGUUAUACGCGUUUAGAACAAUUUAGUCAUCUCAAGAAACAUAACUUUUGUGAUCUGCUAUGAUAUAUUUGAAACCAACUGUGUCAUUAUAAUAAUUCAAUAGUCAUGAAACAUAAUUUGCAUUUAUAUAUAUAUAAAGAUAUUUAAUCAGAAGAUGCGUCGAUAUUUCAAUAUAUGUAAAGAAAUGCGAAGCAUAUAUUAAUGCAGAAUAAUGAUUUUUGAUGCAUUAUUAUUAAAUAAUACGCUUUUAGAUAUACUUUCCUUAUAUUUCAUGACCAUAUGUUCAGGAUAUUCAAUCCAAAAAUGCAAAUGCCGACUAUAUGAAUUAAAGAAGAAACUUUUUACAUAAUA